CCUACGGGAGGCAGCAGUGGGGAAUAUUGCACAAUGGGGGAAACCCUGAUGCAGCGACGCCGCGUGAGUGAAGAAGUAUUUCGGUAUUUAAAGCUCUAUCAGCCGGGAAGAAAAUGACGGUACCUGUUUAAGAAGCCCCGGCUAACUACGUGCCAGCAUCCGCGGGAAUACGUAGGGCGCAAGCGUUAUUCGGAUUUACUGGGUGUUAAGGGAGCGUAGACGGGAGCACAAGUCUGGCGUGAAAUGCCGGGGGUUAACCCCGGAACUGCCUUUGAAACUGUGCAGCUAGAGUGCAGGAGAGGUAAGUGGAAUGCGUGGUGUAGCGGUGAAAUGCGUAGAUAUUAGGAGGAACACCAGUGGCGAAGGCAGCUUACUGGCCUGUAACUGACGUUGAGGCUCGAAAGCGUGGGGAUCGAACAGGAUUAGAUACCCCUGUAGUC
rnacentral:rRNA from 1 species